UUGUCCAGGAAAGUAUGUUGUGGAGCUCAGGUACGCAAUCGCUCCUUGUAAGAAAGACAGUGGUAUUUAGCGGUUAGAUUAGAGGCCGACCCCAACAUAUUUUGGAAAAGGCUAGGACGAUGAUGACAGGAAAAAAAAUAUUAGGAAAGAGAAAACUUGGCAACCCAAGAAAGUGUAAAACAUAACUGCGCAUGAAUAGCUUACAAUGUCAGGCAUAAUUUUCCCUGCACCACAGUAGGUAUCUAGUUUCAAACCGAUUGGUCCUAGCGAUACGCGUGGGAAGAUAGCCUCGUCGAAUAAUAUACUACUUCUGGUAUUAACUUCCUAUUGAUUCGCCGAUAUUUAAUGGACUAAUCAAUAAACAUCACGUUCGUAAUUACGGCUAUACUUUGGUAAUAAAUAGGCACACAGUAGGUACCUACACUACAAAGUUGAUAGGUUAUUCAAAAGAAAAUCGUCAUUACUUGAGAGAGAAAUGACGAUUUUUUUUAUCAUAAAAGUUAUUUACAUUAUCACGACCAAUGCAGCUUUUUUACCUUUUUUUGCAACUUUGAAAAAUGAAAGUCUGGUAUAUAAAGUUUUUAGCCGAACAGGCCUUUUAAAAGAUUAUUCCGUCCAAGCUAAUUUGCUUUCAUUCGAUUUCAUUUCACAUAUUUCUAUUUGAAAGCUGUUCUAACAUGCACAUUCUAUCUCUACGACGAAUUUCAUCGAGUCAGACUUGUCAUUAUGAUUUGAUGAACUUUCGAAUGUAUUCAUAACUUUUUUUUUCAUUUAAUCUUAUUGACAUUGACUUUGCCCGUCGUGUCAGCAAAAUUAAGUUUUUAAAUUUGGAAAUCGUUGCCUCUAAUCACUCCAUAUUAUAAAAUAGAGCCGCUUUUUCUGUCCUUAUUUCCCUUUGACUACAUACUUAAAUAAUUAUACUGAAUACUACGACGCUUAUUAAGCUUUUAAGCCCGAAAGAAAUGGUAACUACUACUUAGUCCCAGAUAAACCUUACAUUUGUAGCAGGCUUGGCCCGGUUCACCGGAGACAUCCUUAAGACAGACAAGGCUACCGAAGGCUCUUUGACUUUUCCGACUCUAGUAUUAUUAUUUACCAUGAAUAUAUUAACGAGACGAUCAUUCAACACGAUUUAUUGCUGAAUCGGUACAUUGAUCGCUACUGGUCACGUGCUCCACAAACCUGCUUUACUUGGGGAAUACCUCUAGUAGUGUCUGAAUCUAUAUAUAGUUAUAGUAUAUUGAAACCAUAUCAGGUGUGUAAUUAGCAUUUUUAUUUUAAGGUUUUUACCAAAUAAACAUUUCGAGACGUUUGUGUUUUCCCUUCAGGUUAAAUUGUCUAUUUUUAAAUCUGUUUUUACGUUUGGAAAUUUUGGUUUUCGGAUGAGUUGUCCAAAGAGAAUUGUAAAAUAAAUCAAGUUUUGAAAAAAGUGAUUAAUUAAACAAAGAUGGAAUUAAUGAGCGAAAAAAAAAUAUAAACACUUUUUAUUUGGAACUAUUUAAAUUGAUUUCAUAAAGUCCGAGAGCAGAAAAUCACAAAAUCAAUCAGGUGGUUUCACAUACCUACACAUAGAUACCCAGUCUCAGGACAAGCGUUUGUGGAUUAUAUAAACUCUUGUCUUAAUCACGGAUCGAACCCGCGACACAUCGUGCACCGAGGGUUUCGCAUGGUGACCUCAACCACUCGCUGCCCAAAGAAAGCAAAAUCAACGCAAAAUCUUGGGACCUGUGCAGAGGCCUGACGGGAGCUGGCGAUUACGAAAAAACGCCGAAAUUGAAGAAUUCCCAGCCAUCCCCAACAUCAUUGGAAAAAUAAAAGCUCACAGACUCUGUUGGCUCGGCCACGUUGAAAGGAUGGAAGAAGAUCGAGGUGUGAAGAGAGCAUAUUUCCCAGGUGACCCAGGUAUCGCUGAGGUGAUACAGUUGAGGCGGAUCUUCGGGCGCUUCAUGCCGUUGACUGGGGAGAAGUGGAGAAGGAUCGGAGUCUAUGCAGCAGCUUUAUAACGACAGGAGCAGCAAACGGAAGCGUGACAGCGCGAUA